GUCCAGCUGAUGAGUCCCAAAUAGGACGAAACGCGCGUCCUGGAU
rfam:Schistosoma rodhaini strain Burundi genome assembly, scaffold: SROB_scaffold0001834